rfam:Rattus norvegicus chromosome 3, whole genome shotgun sequence.
GGGGAUUUAGCUCAGUGGUAGAGCGCUUGCCUAGCAAGCACAAGGUCCUGGGUUAGGUUCCCAGCUCCA